rnacentral:rRNA from 1 species
CCUACGGGUGGCAGCAGUGAGGAAUAUUGGUCAAUGGGCGAGAUCCUGAACCAGCCAAGUAGCGUGAAGGAUGACGGCCCUAUGGGUUGUAAACUUCUUUUGUCAGGGAAUAAAGUCCGGCACGUGUGCCGGUCUGUGUGUAUCCUAUGAAUAAGCAUCGGCUAACUCCGUGCCAGCAGCCGCGGUAAUACGGAGGAUGCGAGCGUUAUCCGGAUUUAUUGGGUUUAAAGGGUGCGUAGGCGGUUCGUUAAGUCAGCGGUAAAAUUGCGGGGCUCAACCCUGUCGUGCCGUUGAAACUGGCGGACUUGAGUAGGCGAGAAGUACGCGGAAUGCGCGGUGUAGCGGUGAAAUGCAUAGAUAUCACGAAGAACUCCGAUUGCGAAGGCAGCGUACCGGCGCCAGACUGACGCUGAGGCACGAAAGUGUGGGUAUCGAACAGGAUUAGAUACCCGAGUAGUC